AGGGUUGGCGGUUAGGGGAAGAAUCUCGCCUGUAGGAGUCGUUCUUCUAAUAAUUAAAAUGAAAAUAAUGCGUAAGUAGGUGCUAGAUAAUCGCGUUGUUACUUCAUACGUACCAAAGGAAAGUUACAAGCAGUCCAAACGAAGGAACUUUAUUUUAUUUCGUCGCUUAAAGGGGCGUAACCGGAUUUCCCUUUGAUGACUGCACAAUUUAAAUGAACAACUGAACGUCUAUCCUAAAAACUUUGCAGAGGAGCCGAAUUAACAGAUAUCUGAAUUCUAAUUACGUCAAAAGAAGAUACACGGAUUUCAACUAUGGGCAACGCGAUGACUAAACAUUCGACAUCCGACGAUACGUCCUACUUGUAUAGAACAAAUAUCCGACCGUCAACCAAAUUAGGAAGUGAAAACGUUUGUCUCUUUUCCAUUCCUAUAUUUAAAUGCUAAAUCGAUCCAUGCUGUGUUUAUAAAAUGAUUUUACAAAGUCCGUGAGGGUGUUUCUAUUGAUAAUUGAAUUCAUUUCAAAUCUUCCGCGUGAUAUGAAACCCAAGUUGACGAGAGAAGAACGUAAUUAUCUGGUGUAUGGAGACAACGUGACGCCAUUGCUAGCGCAUUGUUAUAGCAAUCAUUGAUCUUGAUAUAGGAUUUUAAGAAACGAGUACAUUGGAUUGUGAAAACAGAAGAGUGUUUCAAGAAGCAGUUGGAAAAUCUAACCAAUGAACGAACAUUAUCAACCAUUGCUCGUAGAUUAAAUGUCCUUAUCUCUUCUGAUGUUGAUUUACUGCAACGCGAUGUUGCAAUAGAGCAUCGUCCUCGUCUUUAUGAGAUUUGAUGACUGCGUUCAUUAUGGGAUUGAGAAUACCUAGGAAGAGGAAGAAGAAGGUGGAACAUUUAUGCUUGACGAUGAAGUUUCGAAAGACCAGUGUGGCGCAGUUUUGUAAAACUUGGAACAGUGGUACGAGAAAGUGGGAUUUCAUCAAAGGAUCUAACACCAAGCAGACAAUUGGACCCAGCAGGAAUUGGAAUUAAUAUGGAAGUUUGGAUAAGAUACGUGACGAGUUACUUAUAUCCGAUCUCUUCGUACCUCCUUUAUUAAAUCUGAUAUCAAGAUCAAUGGUUGCUAUAAUAAUGCGCUAGCAAUGGCGUCACGUUGUUUCCAUACACCGGAUAAUUACGUCCUUUUCUCGCCAACUUGGGUUUCAUAUCACGUGGAAGAUUUGAAAUGAAUUCAAUUAUCAAUAGAAAUACCCUCGCCGACUUUGUAAAAUCUGUGUAAAAAGUCAAUAAAUUAUUACAAAACAU